GAUGAACGCUGGCGGCGUGCCUAAUACAUGCAAGUCGAGCGAACGGACGAGAAGCUUGCUUCUCUGAUGUUAGCGGCGGACGGGUGAGUAACACGUGGAUAACCUACCUAUAAGACUGGGAAAACUUCGGGAAACCGGAGCUAAUACCGGAUGAUAUUUUGAACCGCAUGGUUCAAAAGUGAAAGACGGUCUUGCUGUCACUUAUAGAUGGAUCCGCGCUGCAUUAGCUAGUUGGUAAGGUAACGGCUUACCAAGGCAACGAUGCAUAGCCGACCGGAGAGGGUGAUCGGCCACACUGGAACUGAGACACGGUCCAGGCUCCUACGGGAGGCAGCAGUAGGGAAUCUUCCGCAAUGGGCGAAAGCCUGACGGAGCAACGCCGCGUGAGUGAUGAAGAUCUUCGGAUCGUAAAACUCUGUUAUUAGGGAAGAACAUAUGUGUAAGUAACUGUGCACAUCUUGACGGUACCUAAUCAGAAAGCCACGGCUAACUACGUG
rnacentral:rRNA from 1 species